rnacentral:rRNA from 1 species
GACGUAGGGCGCGAGCGUUGUCCGGAUUUAUUGGGCGUAAAGAGCUCGUAGGCGGCCAACUAAGUCAUACGUGAAAUCCCUCGGCUUAACCGGGGAACUGCGUCUGAUACUGGAUGGCUUGAGUUCGGGAGAGGGAUGCGGAAUUCCAGGUGUAGCGGUGAAAUGCGUAGAUAUCUGGAGGAACACCGGUGGCGAAGGCGGCAUCCUGGACCGAUACUGACGCUGAGGAGCGAAAGCCAGGGGAGCAAACGGG